GACGAACGCUGGCGGCGUGCCUAAUACAUGCAAGUCGAACGCAGUGGGGACGGGUGAGUAACACGUGGGUAACCUCCCCAUCAGGGGGGAUAACACUUGGAAGCAGGUGCUAAACCGAUACUGAUGGAUGGACCCGCGGUGCAUUAGCUAGUUGGUGAGGUAACGGCUCACCCGGGCCACGAUGCAUAGCCGACCUGAGAGGGUGAUCGGCCACACUGGGACUGAGACACGGCCCAGACUCCUACGGGAGGCAGCAGUGGGGAAUCUUGGGCAAUGGACGAAAGUCUGACACAGCAACGCCGCGUGUGUGAAGAAGGUCUUCGGAUUGUAAAGCACUGUUAUUGAAGAAGCGGUAUCCGACCAGAAAGCAACGGCUAACUACGUGCCAGCAGCCGCGGUAAUUC
rnacentral:rRNA from 1 species